GCACCACGACCUCCACAGCUGGCACGCCGAGAGCUGCUACGAGAAGUCUUCAUUUCUGUGUAAAAGAAGUCAAACAUGUGUUGACAUCAAGGACAACGUGGUGGAUGAAGGGUUCUACUUCACCCCUAAGGGGGACGACCCAUGCCUGAGCUGCACCUGCCAUGGAGGGGAGCCUGAGAUGUGUGUGGCUGCUCUCUGUGAGAGGCCCCAGGGCUGCCAACAGUACCGCAAGGACCCCAAAGAGUGCUGCAAGUUCAUGUGUCUGGACCCAGAUGGCAACAGCCUGUUUGACUCCAUGGCCAGCGGGAUGCGCCUGGUUGUCAGCUGCAUCUCCUCCUUCCUCAUCCUGUCACUGCUGCUCUUCAUGGUCCACCGGCUGCGCCAGCGGCGCAGGGAGCGCAUCGAGUCCCUGAUUGGAGCAAACUGUAAGUGCCUUCUGAGGGCCACAGCCCUGGCCCCCAUCCCCACCCCAGGUCACCCCAUGUCUCCAUGAGCUCCCCAGCCCUGGACAGAGAGGGGCAGAGGCAGGUGGAGGGCCCCCUGGUCAGGUUUGAAGGCCACAUGUUGUGGGGUCUGUGUCCUCACCUGUGGGCCAGGAAAGUUCUUGCCAAGACCCUCCUUAUUCCCACCGAGCCACAGGGUGGGCAGAACUCGGAGGUGUCUGAGGGUCAGAGGCCCGGAUCACCCACCAGCUGGAGGGGUGUGGGCAGCCAGAGGCUGGGUCUGACAGAAGUGUCAGCCCAGAGGGACAGGUUGGUGUGGUGAGGGUGGGACACGCCAUGGAGCACACCGGGGGUCUCGCGGGGAUGCCGAACGUGGCCGAGGGGUAGGCAGCGGGGCACAGGUGUGUGCACUCAGGGACAGCGGGCCCAGCCUGGGGGUGGGGGGCUCGGGAGCCAGGCAGCCUGCCCCCAGUGACUUGUCUUUGUUCCCGUUCCACACUUUUGAUGGCCCAGUGCACCACUUCAACCUCGGCCGCAGGAUCCCUGGCUUUGAUUACGGCCCAGACGGGUUUGGCACGGGCCUCACGCCGCUGCAUCUUUCUGACGACGGAGAGGGUGGGACUUUCCAUUUCCAUGACCCUCCACCUCCCUACACAGCGUACAAGUACCCGGACAUCGGCCAGCCCGACGACCCCCCGCCGCCCUACGAGGCCUCCAUCCACCCGGACAGUGUGUUCUAUGACCCUGCAGACGAUGAUGCUUUUGAGCCUGCGGAGGUCAGCCUGCCAGCCCCUGGGGAUGGUGGGAGUGAAGGUGCAUUACCCCGGCGCCUGGAGCAGCCUCUGCCCACUGCGGGGGCCUCUCUGGCAGACCUGGAAGACUCUGCCGAUAGCAGCAGUGCCCUGCUCGUGCCCCCUGACCCUGCCCAGAGCGGGAGCAUCCCAGCUGCAGAGGCACUGCCAGGGGGCGGCCGCCACAGCCGCAGCUCCCUCAAUACUGUGGUGUAGACGGCCCGGCCUGUACCCCAACGGUCUGGGAGCACCUGUCUGUUGUCGAAAACACCGGUCCCUGGGGAGACUUGAAAGGCCCCUGUCCCAGCCUGGACGCCGCACACUGCCGCACAUCACUGGCGGGCAUGCGUGUGUACAUAGAGACCACAGCCCGCCUCCUGCCAAAAGAAGUGAUGGCCUGCACCGAGCUUCCUUGAGGGCUUCAGAAACAUGCAUAGCUUUGGAUCACUGUCUUCUCCUUUAUAAAUGGCAGAAGACAAAAUUCAUUCAGACCACACAUGUUAGAGGCAGGGAAUGAAGAAGGUACUGUGGGCCGUGGCCACACCUGACGCGUCUUUGGUGGGCCUGCUCGGUGCAGUGCGCUGUCCAGAGAGACCUGCUGACCCAGUCUGGGACGGGCACAGCGGGAGCUGCUACGGUGCCCCUUGCUGGCUGCCCUUAGGAGGGGGCCUCUGGACUGUCAGUGUGGUGUAGGCAGUGGGUCUGCUGCAGGGAGGCAGCCUCUUGACUUUGCCACAACAGCUGCACUGAAGAUGGCCCCCACAAGCCCGGUUGUGAAUAUCAAGGUGACCCUGCCCCUGGCUGGGAGCUCCCCUGGGGCUCUGGAACCUGAAGCCCUGAGAAGGAGAGCUUGGAAGGAGGUUGAGCUCUUCACUGUGUCUUUCCAUCUGGGCUCUGCAGCCCAGCUCUGUGGCAGGAGGCCUGACCCCACCCCGUCGGUCCCUCCCAGCAUUGCUGUGCAUGGCUCCCUCAGGAAGAAGCUCUGGAGUGGGGCCGAGGCCCCAGAUGCUCUGCUGGGGUCUGGGGACUGAGCUGCCUCCUGUCUCUCUACUCUGGAGCCCUGGGCUCUUGCCUCCUGUUGAAUUGCCCCUGGGCCUGCCCCCAGUCCCGUUUGUGCCAUAAAGGGUUGCUUCAUUGCAGGAGGGGUGGCUGAAACCACCAUCCUGGGCUGCAUCUAUCUACUUAAAGUCCACUCCUUACAUCAUCGCCACUGCUGCACCUCAGUGCCCAGCGGCCGC
rnacentral:sRNA from 1 species